AGAGUUUGAUCAUGGCUCAGAUUGAACGCUGGCGGCAGGCCUAACACAUGCAAGUCGAACGGUAACAUUUCUAGCUUGCUAGAAGAUGACGAGUGGCGGACGGGUGAGUAAUGCUUGGGAACUUGCCUUUGCGAGGGGGAUAACAGUUGGAAACGACUGCUAAUACCGCAUAAUGUCUUCGGACCAAACGGGGCUUCGGCUCCGGCGCAAAGAGAGACCCAAGUGAGAUUAGCUAGUUGGUAAGGUAACGGCUUACCAAGGCGACGAUCUCUAGCUGUUCUGAGAGGAAGAUCAGCCACACUGGGACUGAGACACGGCCCAGACUCCUACGGGAGGCAGCAGUGGGGAAUAUUGCACAAUGGGGGAAACCCUGAUGCAGCCAUGCCGCGUGUGUGAAGAAGGCCUUCGGGUUGUAAAGCACUUUCAGUUGUGAGGAAAAGUUAGUAGUUAAUACCUGCUAGCCGUGACGUUAAUAACAGAAGAAGCACCGGCUAACUCCGUGCCAGCAGCCGCGGUAAUACGGAGGGUGCGAGCGUUAAUCGGAAUUACUGGGCGUAAAGCGCACGCAGGCGGUUUGUUAAGCUAGAUGUGAAAGCCCCGGGCUCAACCUGGGAUGGUCAUUUAGAACUGGCAGACUAGAGUCUUGGAGAGGGGAGUGGAAUUCCAGGUGUAGCGGUGAAAUGCGUAGAUAUCUGGAGGAACAUCAGUGGCGAAGGCGACUCCCUGGCCAAAGACUGACGCUCAUGUGCGAAAGUGUGGGUAGCGAACAGGAUUAGAUACCCUGGUAGUCC
rnacentral:rRNA from 1 species